rnacentral:rRNA from 1 species
UACGUAGGGGGCAAGCGUUGUCCGGAUUUAUUGGGCGUAAAGAGCGUGUAGGCGGCUUGACAGGUCUGCUGUGAAAACUCGAGGCUCAACCUCGAGAUGUCGGCGGAAACCGUCUGGCUAGAGUCCGGAAGAGGAGAGUUGGAAUUGCCUGGUGUAGCGGUGGAAUGCGCAGAUAUCAGGAGGAACAUCGAUAAGCGAAGCAGCUCGCUGG